AGGGUCUUCCGUAUAUUCUCCCUGCACCGGGUCCGCGCUCGGUUUAGUGCAGGAAGAGGAGAAGAACGGGAAGACAACCGCGGCACAGCAGAUUACCUGCUGAUGUUGGCUGUGGUGAUGGAGCUUGCUACCGGAGCAGUAGGAGAGUGGCCCACAGCGGGAGCAUGGCCAGAGUGGUAGAAAGACAGUGGGACAGGUUUUUCUGGCUUUGCCUGCCCAGCAGUCUGUGCCCACCUAGAGGAGGAGGAGGGGCCACCCUGCCGCAUGCUGGACGCUGGAGCCCGCAGCCUGCAGAUGGCACAGUACUACAGCUCACCUCGCUGCGGUUGGUGGCAGUGAUGGAGACUGCAGCUCGACCACAGCAAUAGGAGGCUGGAGGAGUACUUCCCAGGUUGUGGUGACACAGGAACAUUCACUGUCCACAACUCCUGGAGGGGCAGUCACCUUCACCUAUGGCUCCAAAACUGGGGCUGUCAUCAGAGCAUCUCCACAGCUGGGCCCAACAGAACAUCUGGCAAUGUCCCCAGGACAAUGGUGGACACAAGCAGUCAGGUCCUGGGACCCCUGCACAAUCCCCUGGUUCUCUUCAUGAAGAAAAAGCCACUCUGGUUAUAAUGAAGACUAGUCCAAGAAUGAGGCCCAGUAUUACAUGCUCAGUGUGGUGAUCUGAAACGUCACCACAGGGACAAAUACAAAAAUACAAGUGGGAAACUACACUCAAACCCUUGGAUCAAGCCUCAGUCCUACGCUUCUGAAGCAAAUUUCUUGUUUUUGGAGUCUGGUUUUCAACCACUAUAGACUCAGAUCAUUUAUUCUUCAGGCCCUCAAUGGGAUCAUCACAAGCACUUUUUCUAUCAGUCAUGGCAGUCACUUGAGAUCAAAGGUGAAUUUCUUUUUCCUCAAGUUAUAAGCAACACUUUGGCAUAUUUGGUAAACUUCAAAGAAAAUGGCUAAGAUAGAGGAUGAGAGACAUAAGAGGCCUCAGGAAUAUUUCAGCAGAUGCAAAGCAGACUACAGGGUAACUCAUUUCCCAUAUGAUUUGAUUGACUGGAAAAUGUGAAAUUAAAUGCAUACAAAGGGGAAUGUGUGUCAUUUUUCCUCUUAAUGACAAAGUAAAAAAAGCAAUAAAACAAAAACAAGCACUAUUUC